GUCUGCAUAGCACAGUUGGUUAGAGCAUAGUACUAAUAAUGAUAAGGUUGAAAGUUUGACCCCUGUAUGGGACA